AUUGAACGCUGGCGGCAGGCCUAACACAUGCAAGUCGAACGAGUGGCGGACGGGUGAGUAAUGUCUGGGAAACUGCCCGAUGGAGGGGGAUAACUACUGGAAACGGUAGCUAAUACCGCAUACCAUCGGAUGUGCCCAGAUGGGAUUAGCUAGUAGGUGGGGUAACGGCUCACCUAGGCGACGAUCACUAGCUGGUCUGAGAGGAUGACCAGCCACACGGGAACUGAGACACGGUCCAGACUCCUACGGGAGGCAGCAGUGGGGAAUAUUGCACAAUGGGCGCAAGCCUGAUGCAGCCAUGCCGCGUGUAUGAAGAAGGCCUUCGGGUUGUAAAGUACUUUCAGCGGGGAGGCGUUACCCGCAGAAGAAGCACCGGCUAACUCCGUGCCAGCAGCCGCGGUAAUAC
rnacentral:rRNA from 1 species